UGAUAUUAAUAUCUUGGAAACUGUUGUGGG
rnacentral:piRNA from 1 species